rnacentral:rRNA from 1 species
GAUGAACGCUGGCGGCGUGCCUAAUACAUGCAAGUCGAGCGAACAGAUAAGGAGCUUGCUCCUUUGACGUUAGCGGCGGACGGGUGAGUAACACGUGGGUAACCUACCUAUAAGACUGGAAUAACUCCGGGAAACCGGGGCUAAUGCCGGAUAAUAUUUAGAACCGCAUGGUUCUAAAGUGAAAGAUGGUUUUGCUAUCACUUAUAGAUGGACCCGCGCCGUAUUAGCUAGUUGGUGGGGUAAUGGCUUACCAAGGCAACGAUACGUAGCCGACCUGAGAGGGUGAUCGGCCACACUGGAACUGAGACACGGUCCAGACUCCUACGGGAGGCAGCAGUAGGGAAUCUUCCGCAAUGGGCGAAAGCCUGACGGAGCAACGCCGCGUGAGUGAUGAAGGUCUUCGGAUCGUAAAACUCUGUUAUUAGGGAAGAACAAAUGUGUAAGUAACUGUGCACGUCUUGACGGUACCUAAUCAGAAAGCCACGGCUAACUACGUGCCAGCAGCCG